GAUGAACGCUGGCGGCGUGCUUAACACAUGCAAGUCGAACGAUAAAUGUAGACGGAAACCUUCGGGCGGAAGCCUUCAUUUCGAGUGGCGGACGGGGGAGUAACGCGGGGGUAACCUGCCUCAUACAGGGGUAUAACAGUUGGAAACGACUGUUAAUACCGCAUAAGACCACAGCAUCGCAUGAUGCGGGGGUAAAAACUCCGGUGGUAUGAGAGGGACCGGCGUGCGAUUAGCCAGUUGGCGGGGUAACGGCCCACCAAAGCGACGAUCGAGAGCAGAUCGGAGCGGAUGCCCGGCCACAUUGGGACCGAGACACGGCCGAAACUCCUACGGGAGGCAGCGGUGGGGAAUAUUGCAGCAUGGGGGAAACCCUGAUGCAGCGACGCCGCGUGAGUGAAGAAGUACUUAGGUAUGUAAAGCUCUAUCAGCAGUGAAGAAAAUGACGGUACCUGAGUAAGAAGCCCCGGCUAACUACGUG
rnacentral:rRNA from 1 species